rnacentral:rRNA from 1 species
AACGAACGCUGGCGGCAGGCCUAAUACAUGCAAGUCGAGCGCAUUCUUCGGAAUGAGCGGCGGACGGGUGAGUAACGCGUGGGAAUAUGCCCUUCUCUAAGGAAUAGCCUCUGGAAACGGAGAGUAAUACCUUAUACGCCCGUUUGGGGGAAAGAUUUAUCGGAGAAGGAUUAGCCCGCGUUAGAUUAGGUAGUUGGUGGGGUAAUGGCCUACCAAGCCUACGAUCUAUAGCUGGUUUGAGAGGAUGAUCAGCCACACUGGGACUGAGACACGGCCCAGACUCCUACGGGAGGCAGCAGUAGGGAAUCUUAGACAAGUGGGGGCAACCCUGAUCUAGCCAUGCCGCGUGUGUGAUGAAGGCCCUAGGGUCGUAAAGCACUUUCGCCAGAGAUGAUAAUGACAGUAUCUGGUAAAGAAACCCCGGCUAACUCCGUG